rnacentral:rRNA from 1 species
AUGAAGGAAGGGACAUCGCAUUCCAGAACAAGAUCCGCCAUCCCGUCUCAAGAGAACAUCCAAAACAUUAACGUGCGCAUCAAUGGCGCCUCCUCGCGCGUUCGCUUGUACGACAAAAAAAUACAUCCAUCAAGCUCCCAUCGCUCGUCCCCGUCUUUAAUGUGUCGAAGUAAAAAAAAAUUAGCGAUGGAUCCCUUCCUUCCCUUGGAAGGUAGCCUCUACUUUUCUUUUGGCCCACAUCGUCACAUCAGCUCUCGCACGCAACCUCCAAAGCCUCCGCCGCCGCCGCCGCCGCCGCCUCAGCCAUUUCUCUCGUCUUCUCCUCCCUGUUCCCCUGCCCUAGCCUAUCUCUAG